ACAGCAGCAGCCCGGUAAUACAGAGGUCUCAAGCGUUGUUCGGAUUCAUUGGGCGUAAAGGGUGCGUAGGCGGUCGGGUAAGUCGGAUGUGAAAUCCUGGGGCUCAACCUCAGAACUGCAUUCGAUACUGCUUGGCUAGAGGACUGGAGAGGAGACUGGAAUUCACGGUGUAGCAGUGAAAUGCGUAGAUAUCGUGAGGAAGACCAGCGGCGAAGGCGGGUCUCUGGACAGUUCCUGACGCUGAUGCACGAAGGCCAGGGGAGCAAACGGGAUUAGAUACCCCAGUAGUCCCUGUCUCUUAUACA
rnacentral:rRNA from 1 species